rnacentral:tRNA from 1 species
CGGUCGAUGCCCGAGCUGUUAACGGGACGGACUGUAAAUUCGUUGGCAAUAUGUCUACGCUGGUUCAAAUCCAGCUCGGCCCA